CCUACGGGAGGCAGCAGUGAGGAAUAUUGGUCAAUGGACGAGAGUCUGAACCAGCCAAGUAGCGUGAAGGAUGACUGCCCUAUGGGUUGUAAACUUCUUUUAUAUGGGAAUAAAAUGUUUCACGUGUGGGAUUUUGUAUGUACCAUAUGAAUAAGGAUCGGCUAACUCCGUGCCAGCAGCCGCGGUAAUACGGAGGAUCCGAGCGUUAUCCGGAUUUAUUGGGUUUAAAGGGAGCGUAGGUGGAUUGUUAAGUCAGUUGUGAAAGUUUGCGGCUCAACCGUAAAAUUGCAGUUGAAACUGGCAGUCUGGAGUACAGUAGAGGUGGGCGGAAUUCGUGGUGUAGCGGUGAAAUGCUUAGAUAUCACGAAGAACUCCGAUUGCGAAGGCAGCUCACUGGACUGCAACUGACACUGAGGCUCGAAAGUGUGGGUAUCAAACAGGAUUAGAUACCCGAGUAGUC
rnacentral:rRNA from 1 species